CAAGAUACCACGGGCGCACGGCGGAUGCCUUGGCACAGGGAGCCGAUGAAGGACGCGGCAAGCUGCGAUAAUCCCCGGCGAGGAGCACACAUCCUUCGACCCGGGGGUCUCCGAAUGGGCGAACCCAUCCACAGAGGUGUGGAUAUCCCGACCCCGAACACAUAGGGGCCGGGAGGACAACCCGGGGAACUGAAACAUCUAAGUACCCGGAGGAGAGGAAAUCAAUCUCGAGACUCCCCGAGUAGCGGCGAGCGAAAGGGGACCGAUGGCCAAACCGUCGAGCGGGCAUACCCGGCAGGGGUUCCGCCGACGGGGUUGCAGGGCCGCGCAUCCGGGGGCUGCCGCCCCCGGGCGCAGGUCCGGCUGGGGAGCGGAACGGCAUGGGAGGGCCGGCCGCAGCGGGUGACAGCCCCGUACGCGAACCCAGACCGGACGGCGCGACGCGGUCCCUGAGUAGGGCCGGGCACGUGAAACCCGGUCCGAACCUGGGUGGACCACCAUCCAAGCCUGAGUACUACCCUGUGACCGAUAGCGCACCAGUACCGUGAGGGAAAGGUGAAAAGCACCCCGGGAGGGGAGUGAAACAGUACCUGAAACCGUGCGCCCACGAGCAGUCGGAGCACCUAUACGGUGUGACGGCGUGCCUUUUGUAGAAUGAGCCAGCGAGUCGCUGGCGCGGGGCGAGGUUAACCGAAAGGGAGCCGGAGCGAAAGCGAGCCUUAACAGGGCGACUUGAGUCCCGCGCCGCGGACGCGAAGCCGGGUGAGCUAUCCGUGGGCAGGCUGAAGCGGGGGUAAGACCCCGUGGAGGGCCGAACGCACGUCGGUUGAAAACGGCGGCGAUGACCUGCGGAUAGGGGUGAAAGGCCAAUCAAACCCGGAGAUAUCUCGUUCUCCCCGAAAUAGCUUUAGGGCUAGCGUCGCGCGUUCACCGCCGGAGGUAGAGCACCGGAUGGACGAGGGGGCUUCGCCGCCUACCGAAUCCAACCGAACUCCGAAUGCCGGCGGCCCAGAGCGCGGCAGUCAGAGCAUGUGGGCUAAGCUGUGUGCUCGAGAGGGAAACAGCCCGGACCGCCCGCUAAGGUCCCCAAGUUCCAGCCGAGUGGCAAAGGAUGUGCGUCCGCCCAGACAACCAGGAUGUUGGCUUAGAAGCAGCCAUGCAUUCAAAGAGUGCGUAACAGCUCACUGGUCGAGUGGACAUGCGCCGACAAUACACGGGGCUAAGCUGGACACCGAAGCGGCGGGAUUUUACCUAAGUAGAAUCGGUAGGGGAGCUUCCCAUGGGCGGUGAAGCCGCCGGGCGACCGGCGGUGGAGCGCAUGGGAGUGAGAAUGCUGGCAUGAGUAGCGAGAGACGAGAGAGUAACUCGUCCGCCGUGAACCCGAGGUUUCCUGGGCAAGGCUAAUCCUCCCAGGGUCAGUCGGGGGCUAAGGCGAGGCCGGGAGGCGUAGCCGACGCGCAGCAGGCAGACAUUCCUGCACCGCGCACGCGGCGCUACGACCGACGGGGCGACGGAUGGGGGUGGCUCGGCGGGGUUCUGGACGUCCCCGUGAUGGAGCGCGGCCCGCGGACCAGGGAAAUCCGGUCCGCACGAGGGCGAGGCUCCGGACGAAGCGACCAAGCGAAGCGAGUGAGCCCGAGGUCCCUAGAAAAACCCCUAGGCAGGCGCGUGCGCGCCCGUACCGCAAACCGACACAGGUGGGUGGGUAGAACAUACCGAGGCGAUCGGGUCAACCAUGGUCAAGGAACUCGGCACAAUGGCCCCGUAACUUCGGGAGAAGGGGUGCCCGCGCGUACGUGAACGGACUUGCUCCGGGAGCGGAGGCGGGCCGCAGUGGAGAGGCCCAAGCGACUGUUUACCAAAAACACAGGACUCUGCAGAAGCCGCAAGGCGACGUAUAGGGUCUGACGCCUGCCCGGUGCCGGAAGGUCACGCGGAGGAGUUAGCCGCAAGGCGAAGCCCCGAAGCCAAGCCCCGGUAAACGGCGGCCGUAACUAUAACGGUCCUAAGGUAGCGAAAUUCCUUGUCGGGUAAGUUCCGACCUGCACGAAAGGCGCAACGACUUGGGCGCUGUCUCGACCAUGGACCCGGUGAAAUUGCACUGGUCGUGAAGAUGCGACUUACCCGCGGAAGGACGGAAAGACCCCGUGAACCUUCACUGCAGCUUGGCAUUGGCCGCUGGUCCCGCGUGUAGAGGAUAGGCAGGAGGCACAGAUCCGGAGGCGCCAGCCCCCGGGGAGCCGCCCUUGGAAUACUGCCCUCGCGCGACCGGCGUCCUAACCCGAGGCCGUCAACCGGCUCGGGGACCGUGCCAGGCGGGCAGUUUGACUGGGGCGGUCGCCUCCUAAAGGGUAACGGAGGCGCGCGAAGGUCCGCUCGGGACGGUCGGCAACCGUCCUUUUGAAUGCAAGAGUACAAGCGGGCUUGACUGCGAGGCCCACAAGCCGAGCAGGUGCGAAAGCAGGCUCUAGUGAUCCGGCGGCCCCGAGUGGGUGGGCCGUCGCUCAACGGAUAAAAGGUACUCCGGGGAUAACAGGCUGAUCUUGCCCAAGAGUCCACAUCGACGGCAAGGUUUGGCACCUCGAUGUCGGCUCAUCGCAUCCUGGGGCUGGAGCAGGUCCCAAGGGUACGGCUGUUCGCCGUUUAAAGCGGUACGCGAGCUGGGUUCAGAACGUCGUGAGACAGUUCGGUCCCUAUCCUCCGUGGGCGCAGGAGAAUCGAUGGAGGCUGCCCCCAGUACGAGAGGACCGGGGUGGACGCACCUCCGGUGAACCGGUUGUCGACCAACGGCACGGCCGGGUAGCCGCGUGCGGCGCGGAUAACCGCUGAAGGCAUCUAAGCGGGAAGCCGUUCCAGGGAUUAGUUCUCCUUCCGGUAAGGGCCCAGGUAGACUACCUGGUCGAUAGACGGCAGGUGCAAGGCUGGCGACAGCCUCAGCCGAGCCGCACUAAUCGCCCGAG
rnacentral:rRNA from 1 species